GUAGGUGGCAAGCGUUGUCCGGAAUUAUUGGGGCGUAAAGCGCGCGCAGGCGGUCCUUUAAGUCUGAUGUGAAAGCCCACGGGCUCAACCGUGGAGGGUCAUUGGAAACUGGGGGACUUGAGUGCAGAAGAGGAGAGUGGAAUUCCACGUGUAGCGGUGAAAUGCGUAGAGAUGUGGAGGAACACCAGUGGCGAAGGCGACUCUCUGGUCUGUAACUGACGCUGAGGCGCGAAAGCGUGGGGAGCGAACAGGAUUAGAUACCCUGGUAGUCCACGCCGUAAACGAUGAGCGCUAAGUGUUAGAGGGUUUCCGCCCUUUAGUGCUGCAGCUAACGCAUUAAGCACUCCGCCUGGGGAGUACGGUCGCAAGACUG
rnacentral:rRNA from 1 species